rnacentral:rRNA from 1 species
AGAGUUUGAUCCUGGCUCAGGACGAACGCUGGCGGCGUGCUUAACACAUGCAAGUCGAACGGAGCACCCCUGAAGGAGUUUUCGGACAACGGAUGGGAAUGCUUAGUGGCGGACUGGUGAGUAACGCGUGAGGAACCUGCCUUCCAGAGGGGGACAACAGUUGGAAACGACUGCUAAUACCGCAUGAUGCAUUGAAGUCGCAUGGCUUUGAUGUCAAAGAUUUAUCGCUGGAAGAUGGCCUCGCGUCUGAUUAGCUAGUUGGUGAGGUAACGGCCCACCAAGGCGACGAUCAGUAGCCGGACUGAGAGGUUGGCCGGCCACAUUGGGACUGAGAUACGGCCCAGACUCCUACGGGAGGCAGCAGUGGGGAAUAUUGGGCAAUGGACGCAAGUCUGACCCAGCAACGCCGCGUGAAGGAAGAAGGCUUUCGGGUUGUAAACUUCUUUUAAGGGGGAAGAGUAGAAGACGGUACCCCUUGAAUAAGCCACGGCUAACUACGUG